ACGAACGCUGGCGGCGUGCUUAACACAUGCAAGUCGAACGGAAAGGCCCUGCUUUUGUGGGGUGCUCGAGUGGCGAACGGGUGAGUAACACGUGAGUAACCUGCCCUUGACUUUGGGAUAACUUCAGGAAACUGGGGCUAAUACCGGAUAGGAGCUCCUGCUGCAUGGUGGGGGUUGGAAAGUUUCGGCGGUUGGGGAUGGACUCGCGGCUUAUCAGCUUGUUGGUGGGGUAGUGGCUUACCAAGGCUUUGACGGGUAGCCGGCCUGAGAGGGUGACCGGCCACAUUGGGCCUGAGAGACGGCCCAGACUCCUACGGGAGGCAGCAGUGGGGAAUAUUGCACAAUGGGCGGAAGCCUGAUGCAGCAACGCCGCGUGCGGGAUGACGGCCUUCGGGUUGUAAACCGCUUUCGCCUGUGACGAAGCGUGAGUGACGGUAAUGGGUAAAGAAGCACCGGCUAACUACGUG
rnacentral:rRNA from 1 species